CCGUUAUUUGUAACUUAACCUUCUGUGUUUAUAAGUAUUGAAUGAUUUGGUAGGUAGGUGUGUUUGUUUUUUAAACAUGAAAACUGUAAGUAUCAUAUACUUUUGGAUAGACAUAUCUGACUUUUACAAAUAUGCAAAUCGUAGAAGGGGUCUGACAUAUUCCCGUACAUGGUAUACACAUUAAUACAAUUAUACCGCGGCUCGUACGUCCUUGGUAAAUUGUGAUUCUCUGUAUAUUGAAUUUGACUUAAAGAUAGCACCCUCACUUAUAAAAGUUUCUUAAACUUAC
rnacentral:lncRNA from 1 species